GUAGUCCUAGCCCUAAACGAUGAUUGCUUGGUGUGGCGGGUACCCAAUCCCGUCGUGCCGCAGCUAACGCGAUAAGCAAUCCGCCUGGGGAGUACGGCCGCAAGGCUGAAACUCAAAGGAAUUGACGGGGGCCCGCACAAGCGGUGGAGCAUGUGGUUCAAUUCGACGCAACGCGAAGAACCUUACCUGGGCUCGAAAUGCAGUGGACCGGAGUGGAAACAUUCCUUCCCGCAAGGGCUGCUGCAUAGGUGCUGCAUGGCUGUCGUCAGCUCGUGUCGUGAGAUGUUGGGUUAAGUCCCGCAACGAGCGCAACCCUUAUUGCCAGUUGCUAACACGUUAUGGUGAGCACUCUGGCGAAACCGCCCCGGAUAACGGGGA
rnacentral:rRNA from 1 species